UUUUGUUUUGUUUUGGUUUGGUUUUUUUUGUACCGGGGAUCAAACUCCGGACCUUGCACCUUGUACUUGCGAGGCAGGCGGCAGAAUGACUGAGCUAAAUCCUCGGUCUGCAACCUGGAUUAUUUGAGGUUCUGCGGGAGCUAAGAAGUCUGUCCUUUCUCUCAGUAAGGUAGUGGAAAAUGAAGUAACAUAAGGUGUGUGUGGGAUGGGAGUAAAUAUGGGCCUGGAAUCCCACAUAAUUGCACGAUGGAAAGGUGUUGCCAAGGUCACUGAAUGGAGACAAGGACAAGGCUUGAAGUCUGGCUGCUCGUGUCCUGGCCUGUUUCCACCACAGGACUCCACUGUCACAUGGAAUGUGUCACCUUCCCAACAAAGCCCCUGGGGUGCUGCUUCCAGGCAAGACAGGGCCCAUAGCAGGUGGGGGAGCCACAUGAACCAUCCUACAGAAACACCACUCAAAUGGAGCAGACAGACCCAAACCAGGUGUGGCCAAGACCAAUGACAGAUUUGCUUCUGGAGAGUAGAAAGGGGGUAGGACUGGGAGGCUCCACCGGCCCACAUCUCACCCAUCCUGGUACUUCAGAGACUGGGCCCCAGUGUCACAACUCUGCCUGACACCUGCUUCUGGCAAAGUAUGUACUUUAUAUGUCUGUCAUCACAGGAUCAAGUGUUUGUCAGUGUUUAACAUGGUUAUAAAGAAGAUCUAGAAAAUUUGUAGCCUCUGAGUUCUAAAAUUCCCGAGUUCUACAGCCACAGGUAAGGUGGCUUCAGUGAAGUAAUUAUAGAAACAGUUUGUGGGAUCCAGACCACAGUCCAUAAGUCUCUGAUGGGUGUUAUCACUCCAAAGAGGCAGGAUGUAAAAUAAACAAAUGUUUGGACCAACCUAAGGCACCUGGAUGUGCUCCUCCAUCUCAAAUGCUUUUCAGAGCAGACCAAGAAAGUUCAUCAACCCAGGACCAGAGCUGUUUUUUCUUGGCCAGUGUGCAGUCAACCAGUCCUGUGGCAGUGCAGAGUGACUUAAACGUGGCAGAGGUGUCUGCAGGGCAGUUGGUAGCAGUUUCACAGCAUGUCCUGAAAGAACAUCAGCAAGCCAAGGUCAAAGGUCCCUGGGACCCUGGACAGGACAGGUCCAGGUCCACCCCAGAACACUCUCCUCUGUUCUUCUUCAAACUGAAUGUGCGCCUCCCCCAAAGGAUUGACCCUGUACCUACGAGUUCCUUGAAGUCAUCCCGCUCUGUAGAGAUUCCACUCAGUCCUUUCUGGAGCACAGGAAGAAGAGAGCUGUUCUAACAUUCCUCCACACUGCUGCUUUUCAAGGAUGGUAAUAAGAAAGACAUGGAAGAUACUAAAUUCCCACCUAUGGAAGACUAUUCUCUGACAUGAAUUCCACUUGUGCCAAGGCCAGCAUUUGAGGGCCUUGAAUUUUGGACCUGGAAACUACUGGUCCCAGAUUUAUAACCAUUGCUGUGUCUCAACCAUCUGUUCCCACAUACAUCUAAAAUGUAUGAAAAAAACAUUUGCUCUAAAAGAUACUGGCCAGGAAGUGCAGCGUAGGAAUAUCCCACCUAGCCAGAGUCAUUCAUAUGGACCAAUUUCAGGCUUUGUCCAUUUUAAAGGGGGCAUUUCUCAUUCAUAAUAGAAUCUAUUCCAUGCCAUUGGAAGUAUUAGAAAGCAGUCAGGUCUGCUUUAAAUGUCCAGUGGUAUCUCUCAUCAAAAAUCCUUGGCAAUUUCCAUCUGUAGAGUUAACUAUUCAUGUGGUUCUUGUGAGAGUGAAGAGUCCUUUCAGUAGUUUUCUUCUUGCCCUUCUUUCUUCCUUUUAACAGUCUAUUAUUGAGUCUUUAUACCAUGUCUAGACUUUGAUUCCAGAAGUUAGUUCCACUGUGUCCCUUUCCAAAAGACUCAGUCAUGCCAUGGAAUCAUUUCUAGUACAAAACCAUCAAGUACAGAUGCAGAUAAUUGUCCUGAGCAACAUCUCAAAGACAGAUGAGAAGAUUUUGUACAUGCUAUUUUGACCUUCAAUGGGGAGAAUUUGGCUUUCAGAUGAUUGUGAAGCACAGCUCAUUAUUCUUACCUAUGCCACACCUUUGUCCAUAAAUUUUAGAUUCUCAGGAAACGUACACCCAUCAAAAAUGUAACCCAUUAUCAAAGUGACAAAGAGGUGUCAUGUGUACAGCAAACAUACAAAUUUGUACUCAUCAUAAGCAAGAAAUAAUGUCUCCCCAAGAAAGGACAUUUAGAGAAACCUCAACAUCUUUCAAGUUGAAUCCAAGCCAAAAUUAAGCUCUUUCAAAUUCUGCCUACUGAAUCUGAAUUAAAUCUGAAUUUGAUUAAUUGAAUUACAUCUGAGUGACCUCAGUGUCUUUGGAGUUUGCUUUUCAGACUGCUGUGUGUGUAGAUAGGAUCUGAAAGACCCCAAACUUUCCUUUCAGGACAGAGUAAUUUGUCUCUCUCUCUCUCUGUCUCAGGUUUCAGUAACAUACAAUUUCUGAAAUAUACGGACCCAGACUAACUGGCGUAGUUUAGUGAUAUGUGAUAUUGUUGUUUUCAGUCUCUGUUAUGAUUUGCUUUUAAAUAUUUAUUUGUGAAAUAUAAAUCUUGUGAAGAUUGAAAUCUGCUCUAGAGAAGUGAUGACUACUUUUGCUGUUGCUUAAUGGAACUGUUGAAUCUUCUUGGAAAACAAAAAGAUUCUAUUCUAUAAACAAGUCAUUCCAGUGAAGUACAAAAUAAUUCUAGGGGGGGCCGGGGAUUUAGCUCAGUGGUUCCACCGCCUGCCUUGCAAGCACAAGGUCCCAAGUUCAAUCCCCGGUACCAAAAAAACAAAACAAAACAAAAUAAUUCUAGAGGGGCUGGGGAUUUAGCUCAAUGGUUCUGCCACCAUAAUAAUAAUAAUAAUAAUAAUAAUAAUAAUAAUAAUUCUGGAGCAUGCACUGCCACUCUUUGUGAGAUUUGAGCUAGAGUUGUAUAGAUGGAUGACAAAAUGGGUGCUCUAUGAAAAGCCUGUACAGCUAAGUGGCUAUAAAAAUAUGAGCUACUCCAAAAAAGCUUAGAAAUUAAAGUCUGGGGUAAUUAAAAUGACAUGCAUCCUCCCUACCUCUUUGGACCUUUUCUUCCUAUUUUACAUUAUCGAUUAUUCAUUCUAAUCAUUGGUACAUUUUAGGUAUACAAUAUAAUGACAUUCAUCAUUGGAAAUUUGCACCUUUACAUAAUCUCUCUUGGUUCUUAUUUCUUCCCCAUUCCCCUGCCCUCCCUUCAACCCCUCCAUCCCUCCCUAUUUACAAACACUUUGUUUCCAUUUUUUCAUUUUCUCAUAUUAAUUCCAUUCCCUUCUUUCCUUUCCCCCACCCCUCCCACUUCCCCUUCCCCUUUUCCCCUUUUCUUCCUAUUUUUGAAAUCUUUUCCAUCCAUCCAUACCUAUGGUUAAUAUAGCACCUGUCACAUAAUGGAUGCCCCGUCUCUGUUUUGUUCUGGCCAACAGAAAGCUCUUCCUUGUGGGCUACUCUACCCUUGUGGGCUUCUGACAGGUCAGAAUGAUGACUUAGGGUAUUAAUUUUCAUUCAGUAUAAAAGACCAGGUCAGGAUUUAGAGAGCUUUGGAACAUCAGUGUAUAACUGUCACAAAUGAGCAUUGUGAUGGUUAAUUUUAGGUGUCAACUUGACUGGAUUAGGGAUUCUGUCUCAGUUACUUUUUCAUUGCUGGGACAAAAUACCCAAUACUCAAAAAUUAAAGGAGGAAAGGUUUAAUUUACCUCACAGUUUGUAGAGGUCUCCAACCAUAGUUGGCUGGCUCCAAAGCAUGGUAUCAUGGGAGAGGAGAAACAGUCCAAAGCAGGGGAGACAGGGAGGCAGCAGCAGUGAGUCUUCCUUUCUCUUUUAUCCCAUCCAGGCUAUAAGCCUAUUGGAUGGUGCCACACAUGCUCAGGGCGGGCUUUGCCAUUAUCUGUAUCCAGAACUCUGUUAAACCAAUCAGUGGCUAAUCUAGUACCACACACCCUUAAUCCCAGUAUCAUGCACCCAUGAUCCAGCCACCUCCCAAAAGCCCCAUCUAUGAAUGCAUGAGGCUUUGAGGGGAUAUCUAGAUACAAGCCAUAGCAGAUUCCUAGAGAGCUGGUAAAGAAUUGUUUUGGGGGUGUGUCUAUGCAAUGUUUCCUGAGGAGACUGGCAUGUGAGUUAACAGACAGAUGGGGAAGAUCUGCCCUUGUUAUGGGCGGGCACCAUCCAAUCAGCUGGGGGCCUGUAUAGAACAAAAAGGCAGAGGGAAGGUAAAUGUGCUUUCUGUCACUUCUGAAGCUAGGAUGUCCUUUUUCUCCACCCUUGGGACCUUAGAACUCCAAGCUCUCUGGACUCUAGGACUUGUACUAAUUCUUCCAUGACCCACCCUGCCC
rnacentral:lncRNA from 1 species